CACGAAACGACGUCGACGCUCGAACGAGGCUUCAAGAAACGACGGAGACGCCACGGGGGAGAAAGAAAUGGUUUCCAUCGGCAUUGAUGCGGAUCGAGUGCGCCGCCGCCGGCCCGCUUCUCCCGCAAUCUCGCUCGUGCACGCGGCCUCGGCUUCUCCCGCGCUCCCUCUUUUCCCCCGCGCGCUCGCCGGCGUCCUCCUCCCGUCCAAGCACCAAAUUCCAAGACCCAACAUUCUCCGAACCCAAUCCAUCUCAAAUCGACAUGAAUCCACCCCGGCCGCCGUCCUCAAGUUCCAGGCAAGCAAGGCAGAGUGAGGUAGGGGUGCUUCGGCCGCCGUCGCUGCCUGAUCUACUUCGGUCGAUGGCACUCGCGUCGCCCCUACCGAUGGAUCUAGUUCGGCCGCGCUUCCAAGUCUUCGAGCCACCGGAUUUCCUGCUUGGUGGACAAGUUCUCCGACAGGCUCCAAUGAAGGGAUUUACACACCAAGUGGUUUUACCAAUUUGAUCCAGCUAAACAGUAGUUUAGAAAAUUUCCAUUUAGUUGGCAAUAGAGAAGCACAGCUAGAAAUUCGCCAAGUACUCCAAUUUCUAGGGGAAUCCCACUAGAUGAAAGCAAUGCACAAGACAAAGAAACAAUCGAUGUUGAUGAGGAUGAACCCGUUGAAGAUGGUAGGACUGAGAGGUGAUUGAACUACUCCAAAGAUGAAAAUAUCAGAUUGGCUGCUGCUUAGAUAAAGAACUCAAAGGAUGGAACGGGUAGGAAGUCAGAUCAAUAUUGGACGAAUGUUACUAAAGAAUACAACAAAGGCACAGAGAUCUCCCGCAAGAGAAACAAGAAACCAGCUGAAAAUCUAUUGGGAUCGUAUUAAGAAGCCAGUGGGUGAAUUUCAUGGUUGUUGGGUAAGAACCAAUAGUGUAUACAAAAGUGGUUAUAGUGAUGACCAAUUGAUGGAAAUGGCUGAAAAGAUGUAUGCCUCUGAACAUAAAGAUAAAGAAUUCAUGCUGAAGCAUAUGUACCAUCUAUCAUUAACUUUAGUUAUUUUGUUAUCAACUAUGUAUGCUACCUAUUAUCUUUAUUCUUGGAUUGUUAUUGUUAUGUAUGGUUCUGGACUGCAGAAAUAGUAUAUAUAUAUUUUUUACUAGCA